ensembl:miRNA
AUAUAUGUGUGUGUGUGUGUGUAUGUAUACACACAUACACACACACACACACACACACACACACACACACACACACACACAUAU